GGGAGAUGUGUAUGAGUUCGUCUGAAUAUCUUUAUUUUUAUUUGCUUUUAAUUUUAUUUAAUGAACACUGCAGCUGCUGUUAUAUGUUCCCAGGUUGUUGUGCAAUUAUCACACUGUGAAAGUGUCAGCUAAACAUUGAGGACGUGUUUCAGAAUGGGAGGUGAAUGAAGGCAGAAGCAGCAGCAGAGAAGGUUGACUUGGAUAAAAGUUGUGUGCCACAAUGAAAAACAUUGGCACUACCCUGGCACCCCAGGUAAAUUUGGUCUAGAACUGCCACUGCCCAGGAGUAAAGAGGAACACACAAGGGGAAGAUUUAUCGUUGAAGGCAUUUCAUGAUGUUUUGUUAUUGCAACUUCUCAACACAAGAGGGGGUUGUUACACAACUAGCCAAAGUCUCCACACCCAUUUCAUCAUGCCGCAACAGAGCUCAGGUG